GCACUGCUGAGGAGUCCCAUAAUAGAACGAAACGGCCGUUCAGUAC
rnacentral:hammerhead_ribozyme from 1 species